rnacentral:rRNA from 1 species
AUGCCGUCGGGGUCCAGACUGCAACAAAACGCCCAUCCGCACUGCAUCGAGGAAUCAUGCAUACUGCAAUGCUUUGCACAAGCAAAAUUUGGAAAAAAAGAAGCCCGAACCGCAACCCAGCAAUGCACCGCACCUCAUCGAGUUACCCAGGAGAAAUGCAUGCUAGAACGGAUCUGGCAGACAGCGGCCGGAUCCAGAGCUGCAGCGACGGGCGAGCUUGAGAUGGCCAUGGCAGUUCCUGCGGUAGAAGUGUAUGAGGGAGGGGUAAGAAGGAGGAAUAAGGAAAGGAGAGAGAGGAGGGGUGGCUCGCCUUCGGUGCUACUCCGGCCGUCCGGCGCGGCGGCGUGGGGAGGGUGGGUGGCCGAGACCCGUGCGGCAGCGGAGACAUUGAGGAGCGGGAGACGGGGGGAGGUGGAGCCGGAUCCCACCAGAUCCAGUGGUUGCUGGGUGGGGCUUGCCACCGAAGGUAGUAGGUUGGACGGGCCACUGCCUGUGCGGCGCCGGCGGGCAGGAGAGGAAGGCGGGGCAGGGGAGGACCGAUGGCCGCCGGCUGCCGGGCAGAUGGCUGGUGGUGGUGGGACGGUGGGAGCGGCGGGGCCGGAGGAAGGAGGUCGCCGGGCGGGGCCUGGGCGGCGGCGUAGGUAA